CUACGGGACGCUCCAGUGGGGAAUAUUGCACAAUGGAGGAAACUCUGAUGCAGCAACGCCGCGUGGAGGAUGACACUUUUCGGAGCGUAAACUCCUUUUAUAUAGGAAGAAGAUGACGGUACUAUAUGAAUAAGCGCCGGCUAACUCCGUGCCAGCAGCCGCGGUAGUACGGAGGGCGCAAGCGUUACUCGGAAUCACUGGGCGUAAGGAGCGUGUAGGCGGAUUAAAAAGUCAGAAGUGAAAUCCUAUAGCUUAACUAUAGAACUGCUUCUGAAACUCUUAAUCUAGAAUAUGGGAGAGGUAGAUGGAAUUUCUGGUGUAGGGGUAAAAUCCGUAGAGAUCAGAAGGAAUACCGAUUGCGAAGGCGAUCUACUAGAACAUUAUUGACGCUGAGACGCGAAAGCGUGGGGAGCAAACAGGAUUAGAUACCCCAGUAGUC
rnacentral:rRNA from 1 species